rnacentral:rRNA from 1 species
AUCUCGGGCUUACUCGAACUGCAUCGAUACUGCGUGCUUGAGGACUGAGAGAGACUGAAUUCAUGUGUAGCAGUGAAAUGCGUAGAGAUCAUGAGGAAGACCAGUGGCGAAGGCGGGUCUCUGGACAGUUCUGACACUGAGACACGAAGGCCAGGGGAGCAAACGGGAUUAGAUACCCCGGUAGUCCUGGCAGUAAACGGUGCACGUUUGGUGUGGGAGGAUUCGACCCCUUCUGCGCCGGAGCUAACGCGUUAAACGUGCCGCCUGGGGAGUACGGUCGCAAGAUUAAAACUCAAAGAAAUUGACGGGGGCCCGCACAAGCGGUGGAGUAUGUGGCUUAAUUCGAUGCAACGCGAAGAACCUUACCUGGCCUUGACAUGCAUCUCUAAGCGCGUGAAAGCGCGUGAGUCCCGAAAGGGACAAUUUGCACAGGUGCUGCAUGGCUGUCGUCAGCUCGUGUCGUGAGAUGUUGGGUUAAGUCCCGCAACGAGCGCAACCCCUGUGAACUGUUGCCACCGGCCCGCGAGGGUCGAGCACUCUGUUCAGACUGCCCUGUGAAACGGGGAGGAAGGUGGGGACGACGUCAAGUCAGUAUGGCCCUUACGGCCAGGGCUGCACACGUACUACAAUGCCCAGUACAGAACGAUCCGAGACCGCAAGGUGGAGGAAAUCUAUCAAAGCUGGGCCCAGUUCGGAUUGGAGUCUGCAACUCGACUCCAUGAAGCCGGAAUCGCUAGUAAUGCCGUAUCAGCUACGACGGCGUGAAUACGUUCCCGGGCCUUGUACACACCGCCCGUCACAUCAUGGAAGUUGCUUGUAGCCGAAGCCGGCGCGCUAACCCGCAAGGGAGGCAGUCGAUUACGCUAUGAGCAGUAACUGGGAUGAAGUCGUAACAAGGUAACCAAGGG